ensembl:lncRNA Novel transcript, antisense to EEFSEC
AACUUAUUGUUAAAACAACCAUCCCAGUCCCAUCCAGCCACUGCUGCACCCUGCCACCCCAAAAGCAUCUGACCUGCAGAUGCCUCCCAGAGGAGCCUUUUCCAUCCUGUGCUGGGAAAAAGAACAAUGGCCUCAGGACAGCACAGAUCCUCAAUCCAGGUGGGAGCUCAGCACCCUCCAGCUGGGAAGGCUGUGGUGUCCAAGCUCUCCGGAAGUCCCAAGAGGCUCAGACACCUCCCAGCCUUAUUUUCUCCAUUAAAAACACCAUGUGGGCACCCUGUCUUUUUUAUGAGCUGAAAAGAUUUCACGUCCCAAGACGGAAGAGAGGAGAAAUUGGGGUGCAAAACUUACCUCCACACCAGGAAUAUUGGGACAUUUCUGAAGUUAAAGAAACCCAGCCUCAGUGUGAUGAGGACCGCCCCCCACCAGCCCAGGUGGGCUGUGCAUAAGGAUCAGACAUACUGGGGGAGCAGUGAUCCAACAAGAAAGACCUUUCAAAGGAGAGACACUUCAAAACUCCUUAUCGCCGUCUCCACUAGCCAACGCCAAGUUCUACUUCCAUUUUAUAUCACCGCUUCUCUUUUGUUUUUGUUGUGUUUCUAAAUCUGGAUCAGGAUGGAGACUGGCAGUAUCCCUUGAGAAAAGAGGACCAUGGCUGAAAACACAAAAAAGUGUUCAGAAUGCCCACUUGUGGGC